rnacentral:rRNA from 1 species
CCUACGGGGUGCAGCAGUGGGGAAUUUUGGACAAUGGGCGCAAGCCUGAUCCAGCUAUUCCGCGUGUGGGAAGACGGCCUUCGGGUUGUAAACCACUUUUGUAGAGAACGAAAAGUCUGUUGAUAAUACCGAUAGAUGAUGACGGUACUCUAAGAAUAAGCACCGGCUAACUACGUGCCAGCAGCCGCGGUAAUACGUAGGGUGCGAGCGUUAAUCGGAAUUACUGGGCGUAAAGGGUGUGCAGGCGGUUUUGCAAGAUGGAUGUGAAAGCCCCGGGCUUAACCUGGGAAAGCCAUACAUGACUGCAAGACUAGAGUGCGUCAGAGGGGGGUGGAAUUCCAAGUGUAGCAGUGAAAUGCGUAGAUAUUUGGAAGAACACCGAUGGCGAAGGCAGCCCCCUGGGACGCAACUGACGCUCAUACACGAAAGCGUGGGGAGCAUACAGGAUUAGAUACCCCGGUAGUC